rnacentral:rRNA from 1 species
CCUACGGGAGACAGCAGUCGAGAAUCAUUCACAAUGGGGGAAACCCUGAUGGUGCGACGCCGCGUGGGGGAAUGAAGGUCUUCGGAUUGUAAACCCCUGUCAUGUGGGAGCAAAUUAAAAAGAUAGUACCACAAGAGGAAGAGACGGCUAACUCUGUGCCAGCAGCCGCGGUAAUACAGAGGUCUCAAGCGUUGUUCGGAAUCACUGGGCGUAAAGCGUGCGUAGGCUGUUUCGUAAGUCGUGUGUGAAAGGCGCGGGCUCAACCCGCGGACGGCACAUGAUACUGCGAGACUAGAGUAAGGGAGGGGGAACCGGAAUUCUCGGUGUAGCAGUGAAAUGCGUAGAUAUCGAGAGGAACACUCGUGGCGAAGGCGGGUUCCUGGACAUUAACUGACGCUGAGGCACGAAGGCCAGGGGAGCGAAAGGGAUUAGAUACCCCGGUAGUC